CCCCUUUCAGGGUCACACCUGGAGAGUUUCCAGUCCUCUCCCAGUCUCGGCUACGGGAGGGAGAGUCAAGCAGAGGCCUACCCAUUCCAUUCCUAGCUUGGGCAGUGGGUAGCGAGUGGAAGGGGAUCUGUUACAAGU
rnacentral:snoRNA from 1 species